UAAACUACGAUUAGAUACCCUAUUAUUUUGAAUGUAAAUUUAUAUACUGGAGUAGUAAUAGUUAUGAACUUGAAACUCAAAGAAUUUGGCGGUGCUUUAGUCCUUUCAGAGGAACCUGCCCCGUAAUCGAUAUUCCACGUUAUAUCUUGCUUAGUCUUGUAGUCAGCUUGUAUACCGCCGUCGUCUGAAUGUCCUUUCAGGGAAAUAAUUUUCUUGAUUUUAAAAUAAAAAUGAUGUCAGGUCAAGGUGCAGUUGAUGGUUAAGAGGAGGUGGGUUACAUUAAGUGAAUUUAAAUGGAUUGUGACUUGGAAUAUUAGUUGUUUGAAGGUGGAUUUGAUUGUAAUUUUAUGGGAUUAAGUUAGGGUGAUUUUGGCUCUAAAGCAUGCACACAUCGCCCGUCGCUCUUA
rnacentral:rRNA from 1 species